AGGAAUACCUCAAAUACAAGGAAAUAAAACCUAAAACACCUAAAUUCCUAUAAUUACAAAAGUUCUGUAAUAAAUAAUGUUAUACUUAUAGUAGGCUUGUAGCCCUUGUAUCAAUAAUUUCAAACUCCUUUGUCAUCCCAAUUUUUGCUUUGAUUAGCCCUCAAUUCCUUGCCCAUUUCUCAGGCCGUUCAAAUCAAAUCUUGUAGAAGCAAUUAAGUAGAGAUCAGUUAACCAAAUCCCUG
rnacentral:misc_RNA from 1 species